UACAGAGGGGCAAGCGUUAUUCGGAAUUACUGGGCGUAAAGGGCGCGUAGGCGGCAUGACAAGUCACUUGUGAAAUCUCCGGGCUUAACUCGGAACGGCCAAGUGAAACUGUCAAGCUAGAGUGCAGAAGGGGCAAUCGGAAUUCUUGGUGUAGCGGUGAAAUGCGUAGAUAUCAAGAGGAACACCUGAGGUGAAGACGGGUUGCUGGGCUGACACUGACGUGAGGCGCGAAAAGCCAGGGGAGCAAAACGGGG
rnacentral:rRNA from 1 species